AUGAAUAUCAUGAGUUGGAACUGCCGAGGGGCGGGGAACUCCCGGACAGUUCGAGAUCUUGCGAGCUUGGUCCAAGCUCAAUCCCCUUGUAUCGUUUUCCUUUGUGAGACUAGGCAGUCGAAAAUUAGGAUGAAGAAAUAUCGCUCCCGUUUAGGUUUAUGCAGUCGAUAG
rnacentral:rRNA from 1 species